UACGUAGGGGGGCAAGCGUUGUCCGGAAUCAUUGGGCGUAAAGAGCGUGUAGGCGGCCCGAUAAGUCCGCUGUGAAAGUCCAGGGCUCAACCCUGGGAUGCCGGUGGAUACUGUCGGGCUCGAGUCCGGAAGAGGAGUGUGGAAUUCCUGGUGUAGCGGUGGAAUGCGCAGAUAUCAGGAAGAACACCCGUGGCGAAGGCGGCUCUCUGGGACGGUACUGACGCUGAGACGCGAAAGCGUGGGGAGCGAACAGG
rnacentral:rRNA from 1 species